rnacentral:rRNA from 1 species
AUGCAGUUUACGCACUGCAUACCCGGUAUUAUCCCGCCCCGUGCCGCUGUCACUGGGAGCACAUUGCAGAUCUACUCCUUCAAAAUUGUUGAACUAAGUGAUGACCUCAAAUGGCCACUCAGGGUGUAUGGUGUGGUCGCUGCCCGAGACACCGUGGACCGCAACCGCAACCUUCUCUUCGCUCGGUCAAGGAUUAUGUGCCAAGUACUCACUGAAAAUGACUCUUCUUCGUGCUUGACUGGCCCGUCUCGUGCUAUUCUAGCCAUAGACCCAGUCGACUUUGAAGUCGAACUAAAAAUACAUGAUGGAGGUGAUGAGCGCAAAGAUAGAGAAUUGAUCUGGGCUAUCAACCAUUACGACAUAGCAUACAACGGUGAGCAGCCAUCUUUAACCUUCCAUAGCCCAUUGUGUAGAGCAGAGUUGAGGCUUGAGCGACUUCCUACAACAGUCCAAGCCACUAUCUUGUCUGUUCAUGUUGUUGGAGGGGGGUCUCUUUUUAAAUCUGGAGGCCAAGUUUUUUGUUCAUCGUCUAGUGCAAAUAGUAGUGCUGCCAGACGUGAGAAGAUUGUGUUGCUUGAUUAUGAUGACACAAAUUCAGCAGCAAAGAAUGAACGACAUCUAGAUGGCUACCUUCCCCUGUCAAGGAAUGUUGUUUCGGUAGAAUUUGGAGGAGGAUUGGAAGUUGUGGUAAAAGUCUAUGGGGGAUCUGGUUGUACAUCCGGUCAUGUUUACUUCCCUUUCCAGUAUUGCAACACAAGCCAGGGUACAUGUUCCGUCUCUGGCUCUGAGGUGGAGAUCGUUGUUGCUUGGUCCCGGCUUGUCGGAGACAAGAUGGAUAUGUUGAUCGAAGGGUAUACUACCCAGCAUAGUUUUAAAUAG